rnacentral:rRNA from 1 species
AUUGAACGCUGGCGGCAUGCCUUACACAUGCAAGUCGAACGGUAACAGGUCUUCGGAUGCUGACGAGUGGCGAACGGGUGAGUAAUACAUCGGAACGUGCCUAGUAGUGGGGGAUAACUACUCGGAAGAGUGGCUAAUACCGCAUGAGAUCUACGGAUGAAAGCAGGGGAUCGCAAGACCUUGUGCUACUAGAGCGGCCGAUGGCAGAUUAGGUAGUUGGUGGGAUAAAAGCUUACCAAGCCGACGAUCUGUAGCUGGUCUGAGAGGACGAUCAGCCACACUGGGACUGAGACACGGCCCAGACUCCUACGGGAGGCAGCAGUGGGGAAUUUUGGACAAUGGGCGCAAGCCUGAUCCAGCAAUGCCGCGUGCAGGAUGAAGGCCUUCGGGUUGUAAACUGCUUUUGUACGGAACGAGAAGCCCUGGGUUAAUACCCUGGGGUCAUGACGGUACCGUAAGAAAAAGCACCGGCUAACUACGUGCCAGCCGCCGCUGUAAUAC